rnacentral:rRNA from 1 species
GAUGAACGCUGGCGGCGUGCUUAACACAUGCAAGUCGAACGAAGCAUUUGCGACAGAUUUUUUCGGAAUGAAGUUGCUUAUGACUGAGUGGCGGACGGGUGAGUAACGCGUGGGUAACCUGCCUUGUACUGGGGGAUAGCAGCUGGAAACGGCUGGUAAUACCGCAUAAGCGCACAAUGUUGCAUGACAUGGUGUGAAAAACUCCGGUGGUAUAAGAUGGACCCGCGUCUGAUUAGCUAGUUGGUGAGAUAACAGCCCACCAAGGCGACGAUCAGUAGCCGACAUGAGAGGGUGACCGGCCACAUUGGGACUGAGACACGGCCCAGACUCCUACGGGAGGCAGCAGUGGGGAAUAUUGCACAAUGGAGGAAACUCUGAUGCAGCGACGCCGCGUGAGUGAAGAAGUAAUUCGUUAUGUAAAGCUCUAUCAGCAGGGAAGAUAGUGACGGUACCUGACGAAGAAGCUCCGGCUAAAUACGUG